AGUUAAUGAACUUGAUAUAAGUAUAUGUUUUGAAAACAUAUUAUAGAAGUUUAAAUCUUCUAUUAACUU
rnacentral:tRNA from 1 species